UGCUUUUGAAGCUGGCGAUGUAUUAGUCGACGCAGUAUAAUUAUUAUGCAGGUAGCUGUCAGUGCGUGCGUUUAUACAAGACAUUUAGAACGCCAACGCGCACCAAGUGUCCCAUAUACAAGAACUAGAGAGUUUCGCCUGUGAUGGUGAUCCACACUCGGUGGGAACAAGGUGGGAAAAAUGGAGGAGAGCUUUCGAAAUUUACCUGGAAGCAGCUAACAUUGAAAAUCCCACUAAGAAACGAGCCGCAUUUCUUCAUACAGGAGAACAACAGACAAAGCCCAAUAUAGUUCUGCAUACAAACAGAAAAAAUAACAAUAAGAUUCACCUACGCUAACUUACUGAAUUAUAAUAUUAUGUUGACAAUUUCUAAAUGUUAUUUAAAUCUUGUUUAAAUUGUGGACACACCAAAUAAUCUUGGCUCAGGAGAUCAUUGUAUAAUCUCAUCGCGCCGAAAGUAUUAGUUCUGCAUAUGGGACUUUUUCCUCGAGAACCUUAUGAAUUUGCACUUUGUCAUAUUUAAAGACAAAUCGUUAAUUUUUGUCCAAUUUGCUACUGCAUUUAAAUCUGACUGUAACUGUAGACAGUCACCAACAUUAGCAAUUUUACGACUGAUCUGAACGACUUAACGUCAUCUGCGAAAAGCAAGGGAGUACUAGCUACCACAACAUCUGGUAAGAACAAGAGAGGACCCAAAUUCGACCCUUGAGGUACUCCUGACAAGACCGAAAAAGGAAUGGCUUGCACAGACUCCAAUUUAAUGUGUUAUUUACGACU